CAUUAAUGAGGGCGUGUGGGCUAAUAUCCCCGCGAACCCCUAAUCCUUUGUCUACUGCCCCCCCCCCAUUGUGGUUUUUUUUUUUUACUUGGGCGCGGUUGGGCUUUUUUUUUUUUUUGAAAAAGYYUUUKKGNNAUNCCCCAAAAGGGUGSCMCAAAUUUCCUUUCCCCCCCCCAAAAAAAAAAAAAAAAAAAAAAACGAAACAAAACAAACAAAAAAAAUCUGAUAAACAAAAAUAUUGAUGUCUGAAGUAAAAAAUUUAAACAAGCAAAACUUUCAACAACGGAUCUCUUGGUUCCGGCAUCGAUGAAGAACGCAGCGAAAUGCGAUAAGUAAUGUGGACCGCAGUACUCAGCGACUCAUCGAAUCUUUGAACGCACAUUGCGCCACUUGGUAUCACCAAAGGGCACACCUGUUCGAGCGUCAUCAUACAUCGCAUCAAGUCAAGGGCCCGCUUGCAAUUGGGCUUUGUCUGCUUUAUGUAGAAGUCUAAAAGUCAGUGACGGUUAAGUUAGGCAUUCCAGCGUAGUGGUUUAAAUUAGCUGUUGAAAUGUCUUUUACAUGACAGUCAAAACAUCCAGGGUAUCUGCUGGCGGAGACCCCCCCCCAGGGUUUCCGUUGGCGGAGACCAUUGGAUUUUAUCAAUUAU
rnacentral:misc_RNA from 1 species